UAGGUUAUAUGGUAACUAUAAAGUAAGGUAAGCAUGUGAUAUAGAUUGCUUGUUUGGUUUGCCAGGCCAAAAAGAACCCAGACAAUUUUUUUAACCCAACUCUAAGAAGCUUUGAUAUGGAAUGAAAAUGGAGGGGAAAAGGCCUCUGAGAUGAGCUCUCAGACAGAAGGGCUGAACCAACUUACCCAAACCUACAGGGGAGUUUUAAACUCCACCCCUAAAUAAGAGCAAAUGGAAGAGUCCACCCAAGAGCAGCCAAACCAGGAAAUGAGCAGAGGAGAGAAAAGCUAAGGAGCCUGGGUUUCAGCAAUAGAGUUAAGGAAGCAGACACAGCUUGUGUAAGACAUGUCACGUGAUACCGAAUAGGGGAAGAGGAGCCAUGAUCAGCUGCUACAUGGUCCUGUAAAAGAUGAAAAAAAGUGAUGACUGGGCCCUUCCAUUACAGCCAUCCAAACAAGCUGGAUUGGCCAAUAGGAUCCGACCGCUCUGAAUCCGUGCACAAGCCUGGUAACCCACUAAACACACAUUUUAAAAUUC